GUCAGGCACCCGAACCAUCGGGUCUUGGCCACGAGCUGGGAGCACUGGGAAGCGGCCCUCCACGCGGACCAUGGGACCCAUGCCAAGGCCGUGAUCACCACUUUCUGGAAAUUCUAUCGAGUUCUCCCGGAGCACAGGGCCAGAGCGGACCAGAUCGUGGUGCGCCAAUGCAAGAAGAAGGCCCGCCAGAUGCAGUACGAGGUGCGCUAUGUGGCCAUCUCGACAUACCAUCACGACUAUCUUGGUGUGAAGAUGACCAAGGAAGACGCGCGAAGGAUGGGCAUUACCUGGGAGAGGGACGAGUUCUUGAAGGUGUUACCAAAUUGGUGUUAUGGAAAAGACGAGUCCUGGGCGGCAUUGGUGGAUCUUUGGUGUGAUGAGGCUGGAGCCUGGGCGGCUAUGAGAGUC